AAGAAUGUAUAGCGAAAGCUAAUUGUAUAUAACUUUUAAAUAAGUUGGUGCAAUAUUGACUCAGUCAAAUAAAGUUCUAGGUAGAGUUAUGAUAAUGACAUUAUCUAUCUAUGUGUCUUGACCAAGCUACGUGCCAGCAGUCGCGGUAACACGUAAAAGACUAGUGUUAUUCAUCUUGAAUGGGUUUAAAGGGUACCUAGACGGCUAAUUAAGCUUUCAAAAAAGAACUAAUUAGCUAGAGUUUAAUAUAAGGAGGCAUAGAAGUACUGAUAAUGUAGAGAUGAAAUUCUGUGAUAAUAUAUAUGGCACUGGUAAAGGCGAAAGCAUCUUAUUAUGUAAUAACUGACGUUGAGGGACGAAAGCUGUGUGUAGCAAAAAGGAUUAGAUACCCUUGUAGUCUCAGCAGAAAAUGAUGAAUGUCACAGUAUAGACAAAGUUUGUACUAUAAAUGAAAGUGUAAGCAUUCCACCUUAAGAGUAAUUUGGCAACAAUGGAACUGAAAUCAUUAGACCGUUUCUGAAACAAGUAGUGAAGUAUGUUGUUUAAUUUGAUGAUCCGCAAAGAACCUCACCACAAUUUGAAUAUAAAAUUUUUAAUACAAGCGCUGCACGGUUGUCUUCUGUUAAUGUCGUGAGAUUUUGGUUAGCUCCAUUAAAUUAACGUAAACCCUUACUUUAUUUUCUUAUAAAGUGGUUCACCG
rnacentral:rRNA from 1 species